ACUGAGGAGCUCAUUGCUUCCUCUGUCCAUUACCUGGCAUGACGUACCUGGAGGAAUAGACAGUGUGUGGGUGGAGCUGGAGCAAGAGCUGAGUGCUGACAUGACUGGACUGUGUGGCAUAUACAAUGUCUCAGGUAACAGGCAGCAGUUGAUUACAGAGAGCAUGAUUA